UUUCUAACCUACUUCUUUGGAUGGACUCCAUCUGUGCAGGUCCAACUUUUUUUUUUACUGGUUUGUCUGACAACAGUUCAGACUCCAUGACCAGCAACACUGAACUCAUUAACUGUCCUUCUUUACCUCCACUUGAACCUUUGCUAGUGUUUACUAUUGCAGUGAACGGCACCGCCAUCUACCUGGUUGCCCAGGCCAGAGUGCUCUCUCUUCCCAUUUCCCUCCUUGAUUUUUAGUUGUAGUUAUUCUGAUAAAUUUAAACUAUUUGAGGCAUUUUUCUUGGUUGUACAUUCUAGUUUUCAUUAGUAUAAAUUGGAGAUAUUAGAUAAAGCAUAUUUUAUUCUUCGUGCUACUUUUGGCUCCAGUUAUUAAUGACUAAUACAGAUCUAAAAUAAUUUUCUAUUGAGAUUUUUAGUUUACAUAAAUCAAAAUGAAAAUGGGCAGAAAUUUAUGUUUUACCAAAGACGAUUCUAUUCAGUAUUCUAAAUCAUGUAUUGUUUUUUAAAAGAUACUGUUUUUUUCUGAAUUGAAAAAACCUCUUAGCUCACUUA
rnacentral:lncRNA from 1 species